AACUACUAUUUUUACCUUCUUGGUACUCCUUAGCGUCAUCUCAGCAAUCCAAAUAGAGUUUGAGGAUGGAAACCUGAUUUUUGAUUGGACACAAACAUCAACUUCAAACCACACCUAUGACGUCAUUAUUACCUGUGGCGGAGAAGCUAGCAAAAGAAUUGUUAACAGUAAAAUAUUCGUCGUCCAUGAUUUACUUAAUUUUUCUUCCGUUUCAAUCAGCAUUAGAGAAGACAAUAACGGGGUAUCGAAAUUCUACAACAGAACCUUCAAAGUCUAUUUAUUCUCCACAACAACCAGUAAAGACAAAUCUGUUUCCUG